rnacentral:rRNA from 1 species
CUUAUCCUUUGUUGCCAGCGGUCCGGCCGGGAACUCAAAGGAGACUGCCAGUGAUAAACUGGAGGAAGGUGGGGAUGACGUCAAGUCAUCAUGGCCCUUACGACCAGGGCUACACACGUGCUACAAUGGCGCAUACAAAGAGAAGCGACCUCGCGAGAGCAAGCGGACCUCAUAAAGUGCGUCGUAGUCCGGAUUGGAGUCUGCAACUCGACUCCAUGAAGUCGGAAUCGCUAGUAAUCGUGGAUCAGAAUGCCACGGUGAAUACGUUCCCGGGCCUUGUACACACCGCCCGUCACACCAUGGGAGUGGGUUGCAAAAGAAGUAGGUAGCUUAACCUUCGGGAGGGCGCUUACCACUUUGUGAUUCAUGACUGGGGUGAAGUCGUAACAAGGUAACCGUAGGGGAACCUGCGGUUGGAUCACC